UUUGGCUCAGGACGAACGCUGGCGGCAGGCCUAACACAUGCAAGUCGAGCGGCAGCGGGAAAGUAGCUUGCUACUUUUGCCGGCGAGCGGCGGACGGGUGAGUAAUGCCUGGGGAUCUGCCCAGUCGAGGGGGAUAACAGUUGGAAACGACUGCUAAUACCGCAUACGCCCUACGGGGGAAAGCAGGGGACCUUCGGGCCUUGCGCGAUUGGAUGAACCCAGGUGGGAUUAGCUAGUUGGUGAGGUAAUGGCUCACCAAGGCGACGAUCCCUAGCUGGUCUGAGAGGAUGAUCAGCCACACUGGAACUGAGACACGGUCCAGACUCCUACGGGAGGCAGCAGUAGGA
rnacentral:rRNA from 1 species